rnacentral:tRNA from 1 species
GGCGCUAUAGCCAAGUGGUUACGGCGACAGAUUCGAAUCUUAAGUAGAUAUCUGUUCCUCUUUGAGGGCGCAGGUUCAAAUCCUGCUGGCGUCG